AUGCUUGCUUUGGCAGCACAUAUACUAAAAUUGGAAUGAUACAGAGAAGAUUAGCAUGGCCCAUGAAAAA
rnacentral:snRNA from 1 species